UACGUAGGGUGCAAGCGUUAAUCGGAAUUACUGGGCGUAAAGCGUGCGCAGGCGGUUAUGUAAGACAGGUGUGAAAUCCCCGGGCUAACCUGGGAACUGCAUUUGUGACUGCAUAGCUAGAGUACGGGCAGAGGGGGAUGGAAUUCCGCGUGUAGCAGUGAAAUGCGUAGAUAUGCGGAGGAACACCGAUGGCGAAGGCAAUCCCCUGGGCCUGUACUGACGCUCAUGCACGAAAGCGUGGGGAGCAAA
rnacentral:rRNA from 1 species